rnacentral:rRNA from 1 species
AUAUAGGGGGUGCGAGCGUUAAUCGGAAUUACUGGGCGUAAAGAGUACGUAGGCGGUUGCUUAAGUCAGAUGUGAAAGCCCCGGGCUCAACCUGGGAACUGUAUUUGAAACUGAGUGACUAGAGUUUAAGAGAGGGGAGUAGAAUUCCGGGUGUAGCGGUGAAAUGCGUAGAGAUCCGGAGGAAUACCAGUGGCGAAGGCGGCUCCCUGGCUUAAAACUGACGCUGAGGUACGAAAGCGUGGAUAGCAAACAGGAUUAGAAACCCUAGUAGUCC